UACGGGGGGGGCAAGCGUUGUUCGGAAUUACUGGGCGUAAAGGGCUCGUAGGUGGCCAACUAAGUCAGACGUGAAAUCCCUCGGCUUAACCGGGGAACUGCGUCUGAUACUGGAUGGCUUGAGUUUGGGAGAGGGAUGCGGAAUUCCCGGUGUAGUGGUGAAAUGCGUAGAUAUCGGGAGGAACACCAGUGGCGAAGGCGACUACCUGGCCUGUUCUUGACGCUGAGGCGCGAAAGCUAGGGGAGCAAACGGGG
rnacentral:rRNA from 1 species